rnacentral:rRNA from 1 species
GAUGAACGCUAGCGGCAGGCUUAACACAUGCAAGUCGAGGGGUAUAGUUCUUCGGAACUAGAGACCGGCGCACGGGUGCGUAACGCGUAUGUAAUCUACCUUUUACAGGGGGAUAGCCCAGAGAAAUUUGGAUUAAUACCCCAUAGUAUGUUGUGGUGGCAUCACUAUAGCAUUAAAGUUCCAACGGUAAAAGAUGAGCAUGCGUCCCAUUAGCUAGAUGGUAAGGUAACGGCUUACCAUGGCUACGAUGGGUAGGGGUCCUGAGAGGGAGAUCCCCCACACUGGUACUGAGACACGGACCAGACUCCUACGGGAGGCAGCAGUGAGGAAUAUUGGACAAUGGGCGCAAGCCUGAUCCAGCCAUGCCGCGUGCAGGAUGACGGUCCUAUGGAUUGUAAACUGCUUUUGUACAGGAAGAAACACUCCCUCGUGAGGGAGCUUGACGGUACUGUAAGAAUAAGGAUCGGCUGACUCCGUGCCAGCAGCCGCCGUAA